rnacentral:snoRNA from 1 species
AUGUCCUUGUGUUAUUUGCUGAUUGUAUUUUUAACCAAGAUCAGUGAUUGUCAAAAAGGACAAAUAUUAAAACAGCCAAUGUCUCGUUAUUGUUUGAAAAUGCUUAUAUAAAUGGCCUUUAAACAUUUCCAUACGUUGGUUACAUUU